UACGUAGGGGGCAAGCGUUGUCCGGAUUUAUUGGGCGUAAAGAGCGUGUAGGCGGCCAGGUAGGUCAGCUGUGAAAACUCGAGGCUCAACCUCGAGACGUCGGUUGAAACCACCUGGCUAGAGUCCGGAAGAGGAGAGUGGAAUUCCUGGUGUAGCGGUGAAAUGCGUAGAUAUCUGGAGGAAUACCGGUGGCGAAGGCGGCAUCCUGGACCGACAUUGACGCUGAGGAGCGAAAGCUAGGGGAGCAAACGGG
rnacentral:rRNA from 1 species